rnacentral:rRNA from 1 species
UACGUAGGGCGCAAGCGUUGUCCGGAAUUAUUGGGCGUAAAAGAGCUCGUAGGCGGCUUGUCACGUCGAUUGUGAAAGCCCGAGGCUUAACCUCGGGUCUGCAGUCGAUACGGGCUAGCUAGAGUGUGGUAGGGGAGAUCGGAAUUCCUGGUGUAGCGGUGAAAUGCGCAGAUAUCAGGAGGAACACCGGUGGCGAAGGCGGAUCUCUGGGCCAUUACUGACGCUGAGGAGCGAAAGCGUGGGGAGCGAACAGG